AGCAUACUGAUCGAUGAGUUGAUCAAGUUGAUCAAUCAAUUACUAUUCUACAAGUUGAUCACUCAAUUACUAUUCUACAGGCAGUCGCUCCCGUCCUUCCCGUGACGGCGCAAACAUCGCGAGAAGAGAGAGCAGCGGGCGCAUUAGACGCACGCAGAUUGGGGAGCUGUCUGCUCUGGUUCAAACAGCGGGUCGCGAACGUUUCAGGCCGCGUGAUGGGACGUCGUCUUAGCCUGGAAAACGUGAUUCUUCCCCGUUUUACUUUCCUGGGAUUUUGUUUAGAAUGAAUUGAAGCAAAAAGAUUAAAGAUGGAAUUAAAUCAGAGUUGAAGCAGAAAGGAGGAGGAGGAGCCAGGCGGAGGGAGGAGCUGUCGUCAUGGCGACGGUCUGCACGGAGCGGUCCUCGUACCCAGGUCCGGAAGGGGGGGACCACAGCAGCAGAUCAAGAGAAGAUGGAGGUCAACCCGCCUUCCCAAAAACCAGGUCGGCAUCCAGAAUCUUCCGGCUGGUGCACUACGCGCUGAGUUGGGGGCCCGGGCCCCGGGACGGCAGUGUGGCCCCCGCCGACUGCACCGCGGGGAGCCACUCGGCGUUUCGGACAACCUGGAGGGCCGAGAGCGCCGCGUCACCCAGGAACGCCAACUGGAAAGCCGACCGGAGGGAGGCCGCUCAGUGGCCCCUGGCAGCGAUGAACCUGAACAACUGCAACAACAAGGAUGAGUAA
rnacentral:lncRNA from 1 species